UUUGUGACUUCUGACUGAAACAAAAACCACAAAAGGCAUUUUAGUGCCCCUUUUCUCAUUGUGGGGGAAGAUCAUGUCUCCUCCUGAGACAAAGUAUAGAGUUUGAUCUGUACCUAUUUGAAAUGAUAAUGAAGUUCAGGUUGUCUAAGGACACUACAACGGCCAGUAGAUUUGCAAAAUGGUCUAUACCUGGAAGAAAUAUGUCAUCUCCGUGGAAUGGGUGCAGGGAGAAAAGGCUAAUGGCACAACUGUCUAUGUGGCCAUUUACCCCAUCAAGGUGGACCACUACCACAACAAAAUCCUGGAAAGGAAACCCAAGUCUCAGCAAGUAGGAAAGGAGCAGGACAAAUACAAGAAAGAAAUGAUUGAGAAGAUGCUGGAG
rnacentral:lncRNA from 1 species